GACGAACGCUGGCGGCGUGCUUAACACAUGCAAGUCGAACGAUGACGCCCGAGCUUGCUCGGUCUGAUUAGUGGCGAACGGGUGAGUAACACGUGAGCAACCCGCCCUUCACUCUGGGAUAACCCCGGGAAAUCGGGGCUAAUAUCCGAUAUGAGCUCCUGUCGCAUGGCGGGUGUUGGAAAGUUUUUCGGUGAAGGAUGGGCUCGCGGCCUAUCAGUUUGUUUGUGAGGUAGUGGCUCACCAAGGCGAUGCCGGGUAGCCGGCCUGAGAAGGCGACCGGCCACAAUGGGACUGAGACACGGCCCAGACUCCUACGGGAGGCAGCAGUGGAGAAUAUUGCACAAUGGGCGAAAGCCUGAUGCAGCGGCGCCGCGUGAGGGAUAACGGCCUUCGGGUUGUAAACCUCUUUCAGCAGAGAAGAAGCGAAAGUGACGGUACCUGCAGAAGAAGCGCCGGCUAACUACAUG
rnacentral:rRNA from 1 species